UAGUCCACGCCGUAAACAAUGGAUACUAGGUGUUCGGAGUAUUUAACCCUCUGAGUACCAAAGCUCACGCAUUAAGUAUCCCGCCUGGGGAGUACGGUCGCAAGGCUAAAACUCAAAGGAAUUGACGGGGGCCCGCACAAGCGGUGGAGUAUGUGGUUUAAAUCGACGCAACGCGAAGAACCUUACCUGGGCUUAACAUUUAGCGACAACCUCAGAGAUGAGGCUUUCCCUUCGGGGACGCUAGGAUAGGUGCUGCAUGGCGGUCGUCAGCUCGUGUCGUAAGAUGUUGGGUUAAGUCCGGCAACGAGCGCAACCCACGCCUUUAGUUACCAGCGGUUCGGCCGGGAACUCUAGAGGGACUGCCCGUGUUUAAGCGGGAGGAAGGUGUGGAUGACGUCAGGUCCUCAUGGCCCUUACGGGUUGGGCUACACACGUGCUACAAUGGCAGUGACAAUGGGUUAAUCCCAAAAACUGUCUCAGUUCGGAUUGUCGUCUGCAACUCGACGGCAUGAAGUCGGAAUCGCUAGUAAUCGCGUAAC
rnacentral:rRNA from 1 species